UAUAAAAGCAGGUUUUACAGAGACUUUUUUAACAUAAGAAAGUGAAAAGAACAUGUAGAUUUUCAUCUUUUUGGUUAAGAACGUGUAAAGGUUUCAGCUUUCCAAAGUCUAAUUAGUGUAUGUGUAUAUAUAGCAUUUGCUUAAACAAUUUAAUUCUUAUAAGCUCCCAUUAUGAGUUGUUGUUUGGUUUUGCUUGGGUUGCUUUGUAAGUUAUUGGACUGUUGAAUGAAUGGUGAAAGGAAGAUUGAUGUAAUUGCUUCCAUGUUCAUCAGUACUCGGCUUUUGUGGGUUAUGUCCUUAUAUCUCUUGGAAUAGGAAAUUGGAUAGUUGUUCUUGGAUGUAUAUGAAGGGUAACUGUGUUCAACAAUAAUUCUUCACUGCUAUGCUUCAAAGCAAUAAUUUCAUCUGUUCUUUGCUUUGUAUGUUGAUUUCAGCUAUAAAGAGGAGGUCUGGAAUCCAAAGAAGAAGGAUUUUUAGCAAAGAAAAGCUGCCCAGAA
rnacentral:lncRNA from 1 species